rnacentral:tRNA from 1 species
GCAGGCAUGGUAUAGAGGUAAUACGUAAGCUUCCCAAGCUUGAAUCGAGGGUUCGAUUCCCUCUGCCUGCACCA